GACCCUGCACAAAAGGGACUCCACACAGGCUGUUCAAAAAAGGUCAGGCACAACCAAAGGGAGAGGAUUGCAAAGCAGGGAAAGCAGUCAGCUAUGAGAGACAGUUUCUGGCCUUGAGGACUCAUUCUAGCAGAAGAGCUGUGACAGCCUGGAGUACCAUGAAGAUGACAAAAGUUCUGUGGUGGAGGCUAAGGCCAGAGUCACAUAAUCAGCCAGUUCAUAACUCCUCUUUUUCAGGGGAAAAGAAGAGGAACUUAAAGAGCAUAACAGGCUGAAGGAGAGGGAGAGUACAGCUGUGACUCUCUUAAAGAGAAGUACUUCUUCCUAACUCUGAACAGAGCUAACAUGUUGACAUUAUGUAUCAACCAAAUUUCAUCUUUCUGUUUGGGUCUCAGAAGAACUUUCUCACAACAGGGUGUCAGCUUCCUGUUUAGAAAGCAAAUGAACUCUGGGAGAUCCUCCUAUGAAAUGUCUGAAUAUGAUGAUUGGGUGGUGAGGCAGGAAGUACCAUAUCCCCGUGCAUAAAAUGUGUUGAAGUAAGAGACGCUCUUCCAAGUAACCCAUACAGGAGAUGAUGAUUAUGUUUGCCUCAGUGUAUAGUGAAGUGAGUUUUUAAUAGCAACCGCUUACUUCCUCCCCACACAAUUUGCAUCCAUCACUGCCUUAUUUCUGCCUAUUGCCCAAUCUGAAAAUCGUUGAAGUGUGUCAAGAAGGAAAUCACCCUUGGCAUGCAUGACGUGCAGAAGGUUCCAGGUUCAGUCCCUGGCAGCUUCAAGCAAGGCCUCUGUCUGAAACCUUGCAAGUGUUGCUGCCAGUCAGUGUAGGCAAACUGAUAGUGUACAAACACUAUCUCCAGCUGCUGGAGAUAGUGUCUGUACAUUGAAACUGUUCUGCUUUAACCAGUAACAUCUGGUGAUUUUUAAUUGAAAUAAAGAGGCCUUGCUGGAAAGAA